rnacentral:tRNA from 1 species
GGGAAGGUAGCUCAGUGGUAGAGUGCUUGCCUUGCAUGCAGGAGGCCCUGGGUUUGAUUCCUCAGCACCA